AUUGAUAGAGACUGAGCCUGCUGUGAGGGACACAGCUGAAAGGAGAGUCUUCACAGAGAGUCAAGUGACUUUUAUUUUGUAUUUUGGCAGAGUUCAGUCAAAUAUCAGGCAAAAACCUGCAAACCGAAUUCUUUCAGGAACCGGACAGAUUCACAGACCGUUUCAUUGAUAUUUUCACGUCCAAAAGAGGAGCAAUUGGCUGUAAACUGAAGAACAUUCUACAGCAGAUUGAUAAAUCUGACAUCAAUGGCCG